CCAAACGGGCCAGAGAGAGACGGGGAAGAGGAGGAGAGGUGGGACUGGCGCGGCGCAGCGUCGGCUUCUCCGUCGUGGACACUGCUAGCAACUGCAGGCGACGCUGGCCGAUGGACCGCACUUGGGUUUCCCAAAAGUAGGGGUUUGAAAGCCCCCAGACUGGGCUUUACUUGAGCUUCCGAACCCUACCCCUCUCGCUCCCAGUCUCCGGACCUACUGAGAGCUCCACCCAGCAGCACGGCUCUUGGGGAAGUCAAGUGUAGCCUUCCGAAGCCUUGAGGCUGAGCACGGUGCCUGCAGACCUGGAUCCAGCUUUGACACUGAUUGGCUGGGAAGCCCUGGACAAACCAUGUACCUCUGACUUUAUUUCUUUAUAAAAUGUGAGCAGAGAUUAGAUAAGGCCCUGGUCACCCCAAACUGCAAGAGCAGUAUGACGCUGCGACUAAAAAGCAGGUCUGGAGUCAACCUGGCUGUCGUUCACAUCUUCCGCAGCUGCAUCCCUGUCAGGCUGGGAGGUCCAGCGACACCCGCCCACCCUCCUCGUCUGGCAGCAUCUUCUUCCUGCCUUCAUCAUCUUCCUGGGAACUGGCCUGUUUGGGUUGCUCCCAGCUGUCAGCCCGCCCCCACCGCGUCCUCGCAGCUGCUCUGAGGGAGCUGCCCUGUUACUUUUGUUUACAGGUGGGCAGCCAUCACUGGGCAGAACCCAGGCUCUGUCCUUGCCAGCACCCUGCACACCGCCAACCCUGUUCUCCAAAGGCCUGCACAGAUGUCGGCUCCUUCCCACCACGCAUGUCCGUGCGUCCCGCAGCGCCAAGCCCGGUCUGGGUAUCACAGGAGAGGAGGUGAACCGGACAUGGCCCCCGCCCCCGCCCCCACCAGCCACCAGAGAGGUAGAUGUAUGGCAUUCGGGGGCUCUGUCCCUGUGUAUUUUUGGUGACACUGGUGGGGGACCCUUCAGCAGUGGUCUAGCUUCCCCUACCCUCCACCGAGGGGCUGCUGGGAACCACUGAGAGGGGAAGCUUGUGACAGUCAGGCCCUCAGGGCCACCAUGCUCAGCCCGGCUCUGACUCACCACCCACACCUGGCGCUGGCCUCAGGCAGCCCGGCUGCUGGAAAUAGACACGGGGCAGAGAACAGGAGCCGAGCAGGGCAGGGGGUGGCACCUGCACGCGUGGCUGCCGUUCCCACCCUCCCUGCCAGGAAGUGGAGAAACGUCGUCCAACAGAGCCUGCCGGAAACAGCCCGGGCCGGGGAUGCGCCUGGGAGUGAAAGGCCCCACCCGGGCCACCCGGGAGGUUGUCCAAGGAGCUGUGACAGUCACAAUAAAAACGAUGGCGUCUCUCUUCCCACAAGGCUCGGGGGUGACUGAGUUCUUGCUAUGUGCCAGGCGCUGGCCCGAGUAAGUGCUUUGCAUGUCUCAAUGAUCUCAAUGAACGGAGCUCUCACAGCUUGCCAGGCGGCUGUAAUGAGAUUAAGCCCACUCUGCAGAUGAGGAACUUCAGGCUCAGAGAAGCAGUAACUUGCCUAAGACCACAUAGCCGCUGUACCAGGCAAUGUGGACCCACCUCAAUUUCCCCACCCAAACCCAGCGAUCUGUACUAGGCAAGUCAGGACAGUGUCCAGGGCUCACACCGCGGGCAGGCAUGAUGACACCACCUCUGUGCGGUGAGGAGGACCAAGGGCCGUGCGUGCGAAGUACCCGGGAGGUGUGCGGUGCAUGCCUGGUGUCGUAAGCCCCGCCGCCCUGCCCCCAGUUCUGAGCCAGAGCGAAAUGGCCUCUGCUUUCAGCUGGGCGGGGGUCAAAGACUUCCGGGGGGGGGCCAGCCCAAAGGCUGUCAGCGCCACUGGAAUUCAUCUUUCUGAGAAAGGCCGAAAGGCCUCAGGGAAGCAGCAGUUGGAACUGAAGGGGGAAAGGCAAAGGAAGCAUCGAUGAGAAUGGGAAAUGGCACAGCCGCAGAGGAAAACGGCAUGGAGAUGCCUCACGAAAUUCCAAGUGCAGCUGCCCAUGGCCCAGCAGUUCCACCACCGGGUGCGUGUUCGAAAGAAUUGAGGGUAGGGCCCUGAAGAGAUUGCCACACCGAUGCUCACAGAGUAUUAUCCACUGUAAUCAAAACGGGAGUGGCCCAAACGGCCACUGACCCACGAAUGGAUAAGCAAGAUGUGGCCCAUCCCUGCAACGGAAUGUCAGCCCCGAAGAGGAAGGAAGUUCUGAAAUGCGCUCCGUCCAACAUGGAUGCACCUGGAGAGCAGUGUACCAAGUGAAAGCACCCAGUCACCAAAAGGCAAAUGCUGCUCGGUUCCACCCAUCUGAGGUGCCCAGAGGAGCCAGAAUCGUAGAGACAGGAAGCA